rnacentral:rRNA from 1 species
AUUGAACGCUGGCGGCCGGCCUAACACAUGCAAGUCGAGCGAGCGGCGGACGGGUGAGUAAUGUCUGGGAAACUGCCCGAUGGAGGGGGAUAACUACUGGAAACGGUAGCUAAUACCGCAUACCAUCGGAUGUGCCCAGAUGGGAUUAGCUAGUAGGUGGGGUAAUGGCUCACCUAGGCGACGAUCCCUAGCUGGUCUGAGAGGAUGAUCAGCCACACUGGAACUGAGACACGGUCCAGACUCCGACGGGAGGCAGCAGUGGGGAAUAUUGCACAAUGGGCGCAAGCCUGAUGCAGCCAUGCCGCGUGUAUGAAGAAGGCCUUCGGGUUGUAAAGUACUUUCAGCGAGGAGGCGUUACUCGCAGAAGAAGCACCGGCUAACUCCGUGCCAGCAGCCGCGGUAAUUC